NNNNNNNNNNNNNNNNNNGGGGUGCCGGGGGCAGGGGAUCCCGGGCUGCUGCGGGUGCAGGGCCGGGGCAGGGAGGCCCUCGGGCAGGAGCCCCGGCGCAGCGGCGCGGCCCGCGUGUCCCGCGUGUCCCGCGUGUCCCGCGACGGCGCUCACCUGCGGUCCCUCGGCAGGCCGGCACAGCACGGGGCGCCGGGUGCGACGGUCCGGGGAGCUCGGUGCCGCGCCGGGGGGUUUUAUGGCCGCGCGGACGGGGAGGGGUGGGCAACGAGGCGCCGUCCGAAAUGUCACCGCUUCCCCAAAGCAAACAGGGCUCGCGCACCCGCGCCCCGUCGACGCACUCGCGGGAGCCGCCGGCGCGGUUCCAGCCCCGCCGCCCUUUGAUGGGGCGCCUCCGGCAGCCCGAGCCCUGGCUCCACCAGGCAGCCGCUCGGCGUGCCAAGGAGGCAGCCGGCUCCGGGAGCCGGGAAGAGCUUUCCUGGGAAGCGGCGGAGGCCUCCCCCGUGGUGGGGCCGGGCUGGCCGGCGGCUCGGUCCCGCGCCAGGCUCCGUGCGUCAGGCGCCCGCGAGCCCGGCCAAGCGCGUCCCGCCGAUCCGCACCAGCGCCCGGAGCCGCCCCGUGUCACCCGCCUCCCUGGCGCCGCCGGCACGGCCCUGGCGCUCCAGCUCCGUGUCCUGGGUGGCCGGAGUGGGGGCUGCACUGGGCRUCAGGCUUGGGGGGACCCAUCCCGGCACCGACGAGGGUUUCCCGCGGUGCAAAGGGACCAGCGGGACCCUGCGCCGGAGCAGGGUGUGAGCAUCCGCAUCCCGCAUCCUGCGUCCCCYGCAGCUCCUGGCUAUCACCCACAUGCCGGAGGAUUUUCCAGCUCCUGGCAGUGCUCGGUGCAGGGCCGAGACACAUUCCCAGCACUGCUGCAGCUCCCAGCUAUUAUCCACAUGGCAGCAGUUUUCCCGGCUCCCGGCAUCACUUGGUGCAGGGCCGAGACAUGCUUCCGGCACCUCCACGGCUCCCGGCUAUCGCCUGCACACUGGCGGGUUUCCCAGCUCCCGGCACCACUCGGUGCAGGGCCGAGACACGUUCCCGGCACCACCGCGGUUCCCAGCUGUUAUCCGCAUGGUGGAAGGUUUCCCAGCUCCCGGCACCACUCGGUGCAGGGCCGAGACACAUUCCCGGCACCGCUGCAGCUCCCAGCUGUUAUCCGCAUGCCAGUGGGUUUCCCAGCUCCUGGCACCACUCGGUGCAGGGCUGAGACACAUUCCCAGCACUGCUGCAGCUCCCGGCUAUUAUCCGCAUGCUGGUGGGUUUCCCAGCUCCCGGCACUGCUCGGUGCAUGGCCGAGACACAUUGCCGGCACCACUGCGGCUCCCGGCUAUUAUCCACACAGUGGUGGGUUUCCCAGCUCCCGGCACUGCUCAGCUCCCGGCAGAGCCACACUCCCAGCACCGCCAUGGGUCGCUGCGAGCCGGGACUGGGGCAGGGACAGGCGGGCUCGGCG
rnacentral:lncRNA from 1 species